rnacentral:rRNA from 1 species
UACGUAGGGCGCAAGCGUUGUCCGGAAUUAUUGGGCGUAAAGAGCUCGUAGGCGGUUUGUCGCGUCUGCUGUGAAAACUUCAGGCUCAACCUGGGGCUUGCAGUGGGUACGGGCAGACUAGAGUGCGGUAGGGGUGACUGGAAUUCCUGGUGUAGCGGUGGAAUGCGCAGAUAUCAGGAGGAACACCGAUGGCGAAGGCAGGUCACUGGGCCGCAACUGACGCUGAGGAGCGAAAGCAUGGGGAGCGAACAGG